rnacentral:misc_RNA from 1 species
UCUCCGUAGGUGAACCUGCGGAGGGAUCAUUACAGAGAACAUCGCCCUCACGGGUGACUCUCCAACCCUAUGUCGUUAUAACCUUUGUUGCUUUGGCGAGCCGCCUCGGCCACCGGCUCCAGCUGGUGAGUGCUCGCCAGAGGACCCCCAACUCUGAAUAUUAGUGUCGUCUGAGUACUAUAUAAUAGUUAAAACUUUCAACAACGGAUCUCUUGGUUCUG